rnacentral:misc_RNA from 1 species
UUGGAAGUUUAGACAUAAACCAGGGUAUGGUAGAAUUUUUAUUUUAUAUUCCUAUCUGUCUCAUGAUACUUGACUCAUUAUCAAUGGUGCAUAGCAAACAUAAAGGAACUUGUGUCAGAUUUUGCCUUUUUCCAGUUGCAUCAUUUUCUAGAAGUAUGCUUAACCUUGAUAGUAUUUAAGUUAUAGUUGUUUGGCAUAGUUAAAUUAAUAUAAAUACUUAAAAAUACCAUAGAUCACUUUCCUUUCCAGCAAAGAGUAUUUGGGAUAUGAUUGAAUGCCAUAUAGCAAUUCGGUGCUGAUUCGUGUUUUGUUUUCUAGUGCGUGCUAAUUCGCAAG